rnacentral:sRNA from 1 species
UUCCCCCGUCAGAAGGUAGAGGGAGAGCAGUCCUUCCCUAAAGAAAGGCACCUGUAGAGUGCCGCUGUUACCACAGGCCCCUGGGCCCUUCUCUGUAAUGUACACUCCCUUUCUUGUUUUCUCUAGAGGCUUUUUUUUUCUUUUCUGCUUCUUUUUUCCCAUCUCAUUCUUUGCCCUGUCUCAUUGCGGGAUCAUGACUUAGAGCUUGCUGACUCCCAUUGCACCAGCUGGCUCGGCUGUUCUUCUCUGGGAAAUGCUGUUUCACAGGGCUGGGGAGACUGUGAGCUUUUCUUGGAGAUCCUACUGGAGGUCCUGCCUGUGUUCUUGCCCUGUCUCAGAUGGUGCAGAGGAGGCGGCUGGUUCAUGCGCACAAGCCCCAUCCCACAGCCCUCCCAACAAACCCAAGCUGGUGGUGAAGCCUCCAGGCAGCAGCCUCAAUGGGGUUCCCCCCAACCCCACUCCCAUUGUCCAGCGGCUGCCGGCCUUUCUAGACAAUCACAAUUAUGCCAAGUCCCCCAUGCAGGAGGAAGAAGACCUGGCGGCAGGUGUGGGCCGCAGCCGAGUUCCAGUCCGCCCACCCCAGCAGUACUCAGAUGACGAGGAUGACUAUGAGGAUGAUGAGGAGGAUGACGUGCAGAACACCAACUCUGCCCUUAGGUAUAAGGGGAAGGGAACAGGGAAGCCAGGGGCAUUGAGCGGUUCUGCUGAUGGGCAACUGUCAGUGCUGCAGCCCAACACCAUCAACGUCUUGGCUGAGAAGCUCAAAGAGUCCCAGAAGGACCUCUCAAUUCCUCUGUCCAUCAAGACUAGCAGUGGGGCUGGGAGUCCAGCUGUGGCAGUGCCCACACA